AUACGGAGGGUGCAAGCGUUAUCCGGAAUCAUUGGGUUUAAAGGGUCCGCAGGCGGACUGAUAAGUCAGUGGUGAAAUCCCGUAGCUUAACUACGGAACUGCCGUUGAAACUGUCAGUCUUGAAUUCGGUCGAAGUGGGCGGAAUGUGUCAUGUAGCGGUGAAAUGCAUAGAUAUGACACAGAACACCGAUAGCGAAGGCAGCUCACUAGGCCUGAAUUGACGCUCAGGGACGAAAGCGUGGGGAGCGAACAGGAUUAGAUACCCUAGUAGUCC
rnacentral:rRNA from 1 species